rnacentral:rRNA from 1 species
CAGCCGCCGCGGGAAUACGUAGGGCGCAAGCGUUAUCCGGAAUUAUUGGGCGUAAAGAGCUCGUAGGCGGUUUGUCGCGUCUGCCGUGAAAGUCCGGGGCUCAACCCCGGAUCUGCGGUGGGUACGGGCAGACUAGAGUGAUGUAGGGGAGACUGGAAUUCCUGGUGUAGCGGUGAAAUGCGCAGAUAUCAGGAGGAACACCGAUGGCGAAGGCAGGUCUCUGGGCAUUAACUGACGCUGAGGAGCGAAAGCAUGGGGAGCGAACAGGAUUAGAUACCCCUAGUCCCUGUCUCUUAUACAC